UGGGAGCUUUGGCGUCUGUGACUAAAGGGA
rnacentral:piRNA from 1 species